rnacentral:rRNA from 1 species
UGGGGAAUCUUGCACAAUGGGCGAAAGCCUGAUGCAGCAACGCCGCGUGCGGGAAGACAGCCCUAGGGUUGUAAACCGCUUUCAGCAGGGAAGAAACUGACGGUACCUGCAGAAGAAGAUGCGGCCAACUACGUGCCAGCAGCCGCGGUGACACGUAGGCAUCAAGCGUUAUCCGGAUUUAUUGGGCGUAAAGAGCUCGUAGGCGGUUCGGUAAGUCGGGUGUGAAAACUCUGGGCUCAACCCAGAGAGGCCACUCGAUACUGCUGUGACUAGAGUGCGGUAGGGGAGCGGGGAAUUCCUGGUGUAGCGGUGAAAUGCGCAGAUAUCAGGAGGAACACCAGUGGCGAAGGCGCCGCUCUGGGCCGUAACUGACGCUGAGGAGCGAAAGCAUGGGUAGCAAACAGGAUUAGAUACCCUGGUAGUCCAUGCCGUAAACGUUGGGCACUAGGUGUGGGUCUCAACCGAACGAGAUCCGCGCCGUCGCUAACGCAUUAAGUGCCCGCCUGGGAGUACGGUCGCAAGAUU